rnacentral:rRNA from 1 species
ACUCAAAGGAAUAGACGGGGGCCCGCACAAGCGGUGGAGCAUGUGGUUUAAUUCGACGCAACGCGAAGAACCUUACCAAGGCUUGACAUGGCGCUGGUCAGCUAAGAGAUUAGCUUUUCCUACGGGACAGCGCACACAGGUGGUGCAUGGUUGUCGUCAGCUCGUGUCGUGAGAUGUUGGGUUAAGUCCCGCAACGAGCGCAACCCUUAUUUUUAGUAGCCAGCGAAUGAAGUCGGGCACACUAGAGAGACUGCCGUGGAGAACACGGAGGAAGGUGGGGACGACGUCAAAUCAUCAUGCCCCUUAUGUCUUGGGCUACACACGUGCUACAAUGGUCGAGACAACGUGAAGCAAGAGCGUGAGCUUAAGCGAAUCACUAAAAAGCGGCCUCAGUUCGGAUUGCAGUCUGCAACUCGAGUGCAUGAAGUUGGAAUCGCUAGUAAUCGCGAAUCAGCAUGUCGCGGUGAAUACGUUCCCGGGCCUUGUACACACCGCCCGU